GCCUCAGCGGAAGCUACCUCGGCCAAGGCCAGCGCCUAAAGUACAACCCAGAAGCCCUCAGCAGAAGCAAACAGCUCUGGUCCCUCUCCUGGAUGUUAAAGAGUAGCUAAAAGUUCGUGCUGCUCUAACUAGAUUAAGCUUGCUUCCCAGAGCCCUGCCUUGUUUCAAAGAGAAGACGAUAGUGACCAGGAUACAGGUGCCUGGAAGUUUCAUGCCCACCAGAGAGUCUGCACCGGAGAGAAACCCUACAUAUGCAAGAAGUGUGGGAAAGGCUUCUGUCAUGCCUCAAGUCUACAGGAUCAUCAGAGACUCCAUACCAGUGAGAAUCUGUUCAAAUGCAGUGCGUGCCUGAAGCAGUUUAGUAAGGCCCCACACCUCCAGGCCAACCAGAAGGAGUGUAGGUGACUGAGGAGGUCAGAGACAUCAGAUCGUGUUGGAUCUGAAGUUAAGAUAUGGAUGCUGAGAACUGAACUCUGGCCCUCUGCAAGAUCAUGUUGGAAAUGAAUGAGGUUGCACACAUCUAUAAACCAGCACUUGGAAGGCUGAGGCAAGAGGAUGGAGUUUGAGGCCAGCCAGAGCAGUCUUGGCUGUGUAGCAAGAUACUUUCAAAAACAACAAACAAACAAAUAAAUAAAUAAGAGUGUACAAGAAGAGUUGUUGGAUAUCCUUGCUAGUUUUAUGAACUGCCUUGUGUCAGUACUGGUCCUUGAAUUGUCCUUAUUAUAACUAGGAAGGACUUUCUGCUCUGUGACAGCCAGACAAGAUUGGAUGGAUGUGUCUGUUUAUUAACUUGGUCAGUAAUGGUCCUUGACAACCAGUUUCAUUGCAAACUCUUGGUUUCCUUCUGUAUCAAAUAUAAAACUGGUAUAUAGGCAAAAACCUAUCAGUUUUUCCUUUUUCUAUAAUUGUUAAAUUGUUAACUUUUAAAAAAAUGUUUUUGUUGGUCGGGUGUGAUGGCACAUACCUUUAACCCAAGCAUGCAAGAAGGAGUCAGAGGCAGGAGGAUCUCUGUGAGUUCCAGGGCAGCCAGAACUGCUAUCAUAUUUAUUUUACUUAUGUGUAUGCACAUGCACAGAGGUCAGCUCUCUUCUUCCCACCAAGUGAGCACCAGGGAUUGAAUCCGUUAUUGGGAUUUUACCCUGAGCCAUCUUGCUGGCCAUGGUUUUAAUUUGUGUUUUCCUGGUUACUAUCCCAUUGAGACUGAGAUAUGUGCAUGUAUACAUAAGCUUCCUUUUCUCUGGUUUGUUUGCUCACUUUAGUUAGUUGCCAACAUUGUCUUUUUAUUGCUCCAUACUGUUUUUUAUAUAUUGUCUGGAUUAUUGACUGUCAGUAGAGUGCAGUACAAACAUCUUCUCCUAGGCUCCAGAUUGUUUUUGGAUUUUGAGAGACUAAAGACUAUGGGGUUAUAAUAUGGCAUUGAGAGAAAGCAAGAAUGGUAAUUCAAAAAGUUCAAGGUUUUCAGAUUAUGCAAGUGGAGGAAAUGAGGUAAGAAUGCCUGCAGUCCUGAAGUUUCCAGAUAUGUCCUUGUCUCUCAUGGAAGCUGCCUGAAAGCUGUGGCCUUUUCAGGUCUCUUGGUGAAGUGUGGGUCCCUUUCCAUGCCUGAGUGAAAGGUACUGGCAUGUGGCUUAAUGUUGUUACAACCCAGGGUGUGAGGACUCAGCUGUAUCAUUCUUCUUAGAAGACAGUGAUUCCCUUGAUUUGGAACCUGUUACUUCUUUAGGCCCAGAUUUCAAGUCUUGAUGUUCUUCCUAUACCAGAUAGCAGGACCGUUUUCCUGUGUCUGUGCCAGUGAUCAGCUACCUGUAUGACUCUCUGAUUAUAGUUCUCCAGAGCUAAUCUAGGAGCCUUAAAUUGUAACUUGUAUUCCACCAAUAAAUAUGUUUAAGUCCAAAGUUAUUCAGCUUUUCAGUUUUCUUUUUAUAACCAUUUAAACAUUUUUCCUUUAUUUUAUUUUAUAUGUAUGGGCGUUUUGCCUGUAUGUACGUCUGUGCACUGUGUGCUUGCCUGGUGCCCAGGGAGGCCUGAAGAGAAUGGCAGAUUCCCUGAGACUGGACUUACGGAUGGUUGUUAGCCAUCAUGUGGGUGCUAGGAACAAAACCUACUAGCUUCCCUAGUGCACUUAAACUCUGAGCCUUUUCUCUAGCCCCUUUGUAAUGAUUCUUUUUUCUGGCCUGCUGGUCCAAGCCUCCUGAAUCCACAGUCCUUAAUGAUAUACCCAAUAUUUUCAUAGUAAAUAUCUUCAUUCUCAUCUCUGUGCUUUUUCUCCCAGAUGUCUUCUUCUCAGAGCAUGUGUCAUGCUCCCCUUUAAGUAAGUCCUUACUAUUCUUCAAGGCCCACUGAGUUUUUCUUGUACGGGAAACUGGCCUUCAGUUCUGUAGCUCACGUUUAUUAGCACUUACAGGCUGAUAAAUAGACUACCUCAGAUAAGCUCACAGGUCUUCAGUGUUUCUGUCUUAUUCUCAAUAUUAUUUUAACUUCUGGGGGACAGAGAAAGUCCCUCUAACUCCCUUUGUUAGUAGCAAAGAGUUGACAAACUGUUUAAUGGUUACAUAGAACCCACUUUUUUUUUUAAAUUUUAACACUCUACAAUGUACAAGAUCCUUUGUUUGCAGUCAGACAUAGUGGUACAUACCUACAAUCACAGUGCUGGUGAGCCAAUGGUAGGAGGGACAUUAGUUUUGAGACCAAUAAGAGCUUGCCUCAAAUUUAACAUCAAAUAAAAGCAGUGUGCUCUUACCAUGAGCUGAUCUGAUUCACCACAUCUACAUAAAGUGGCCAUGUAGAUAACAUAAGUGUCCUUGGCUUAACAGUCUUUUUAAGAUCAUCACUGAAUGUGAAAAGUAGACAUUUGAGAACCAGAUAAAGGCACUUUGCAAAUAAGCCUGGUGCCCUGGUUUUAAUCCUCAGAACCCAUAUGAAGGUGGAAGAAGAGAAUCAACUUAAUAAAGCUGCCCUAUCACCUCCACAUGCACUCUGUGGUAUGUGCCUUGUACCCUUAUAACAAUAGUGAAAAAGUUUAAGCGAGCUUUUAAAACAGGACUUUAUUUAUUACACACUUAGGCACAGUAGCUAGGCAGAUUCUCAGCUAUUCUAACCUGACAAUACUCUCAGUCUUUAGUCCCAGCACUUGUUUCUUCCUCUGUGUCUGGCUGGCAACCCCCUUUACUUCUGAUUCCUCCCCAGAGUCCCUUUCUCUGUCAGUAGUUCUGUCUGACCUCUCUUGCCUCACCUAUUAGCCGGUCAGCUCUUUAUUUAACCAAUCAGAAGGUUGGAGAACAAUGUUCACAGAAUACUGAGGUGGGUGAUGCUUCAUAAAAAUGACAAUGCUAAAGUCCAGCCUGUACUUAACUGCCUGGGUACAGAAAUUAGUAUUUGAAUAAUACAAAGACAAAUAAGCAAAUAAGCCUGGUGCCCUGGUUUUAAUCCUCAGAACCCACAUGAAGGUGGAGGAAGAGAAUCACAGUGCACACAAAGAUCGACCUAAUAAACAUUGAAAGCUGGUAAGGAAACUGAGUCCCCAAAUUUGAGUCAAAUGGGAAGCUUUUACCAUGUGGUGCAGCACUUGAGCAUGUAUGUUCUGUACAUGCUUCUGUGAUGGCAGUUUCCUCUUGAGUUUGCUAGGGGUGGAGGUAAGGCUGGAAGUGUCCACAUUUUGAAAGUGUAGUCAGGGUAGCUGGGCCAGGUUUUGUACAUGGUGGGUGAAAGGGAUCUCUGCUGAGCCAAAUGUAUAUGGCUGUCUAGGUUUGGUCCCAAGACACAGUACCAUGUGAGAAGAGAGCGGAAGGUCUUUUAGCAGCUGAUCUAAACCACAGACAUGUGUAGACUGGAUGAGUACUGUGAAAGUGAGUAAGUACUAGGUAGUUUGUGGUUAUAAGUCAGAGCAGUGAUGUUGCUCCUUUACCCUGUAGUGCACUCCUGAGUCGUAUACACCCCAGAAAUUCGAGAACUUAAGAGGGUAAGGCAGGAGGAUCAAGAAGCAAGGGUAGUCUGGGCUGUAUGAGAUUCUGUCUCAAAAGACAAGCAAACAAAAAAGAGUGUGAUGCAAUUUUGAGUGCAACCCAAUUUCAGUGGCAACAAUAAGGCAUUCCUGAAAUGUGCAUGUUUACCUAAGGGCCGUUUGAAGCCAGAAUUAAAUUCUUUUUCUGCAGUUAGAAAAGGCUAUGCUGCCAGUUGGUUGGCUGGUCUUUGAACUCAAGGGAUGCCUGAUGACAUACUUAAAGCUUAGCUUCAUAUGGUGGUUGUGUUUUCAUAUGUUAUAUGAACAGAUGGUUAGAAAAUAAUUUUCUGCCUUCCACCUCAGCUGGUAUCCUCAGCACUUUCUGGUCCAGAAGCAAGGUAAUGGAAGAUCAGAAGUACUUACUCAUUCCCCUAAUAGAGCUGGCCUUGGACUGAUUAGUCUCAGGCAGAAAGCCCAUAGCCUUGUCCAAAUGAAGGACGGAAUUGGGGCUCAGGGUCUAACAGCUAUAGUCAUUUUAUGAUUACCCACAAAGCCAAGUGUCAGGGACAUUCUAAGCAAGAAAGUGAUUGCGGCGGUUUCCUCAGUUUUCCAUUUGCAGUUAGUGUCUGGGGUAUGUGUAUUGUAUACUGUGGCAUCUAGUUCCAGAUUUUCAAAUCUCUGUGCUAUCAGGAGGGACAUAAGUAGUAGGUUUACAGGUUUAUGCUCUCAGGUGUGGUUUGAGAAGAGUCGGCAUGUUGUCUUAGAACCUCGAUUAGAAAGUGCUUGACUUGCCUGCCUUUGGGUAUAGUUGCACUGGUUUUUCAUACUCUGAAGUAGUUGAUUUUUAUAUCCAAUUUGUAAUAAUGGAAGCUUAUUACACUAGCUAAAUGAAAUUAAAUACUGCCUUUCUUAUUUCUUGGAAAUAGAGUGCUGAACCCAGAGAAGCCAAGGCACUGAAAAUAGCAUUUCUUUACAAAGUAGUAACCAUGGUGCCUGAAUCUGAAGCUGAAUUGGUUUCAAGUAUAAAGCUUUGUUUUCUGGGGGAGAGAAAGUAGUUGGCUAUUGCUACCAACUGGCUGGCCCUGCUGUGGAGGCAUGCUCUUUUCUCUGGUGGAAAGGCAGGGAACCAGAUGCCCCAGUCUCCCUCCUGUCCAAGCUCCUCUCCUUCCUGUCUAAGCGCCUCUUUGCUUGGCUCACUCUUGCUUCCUGUGUUAGAAGGACAAAUGAUCCCUUGCUUGUUCCCCAUCACCUUCUUAAAGUAUUUUAAAGUUGUAUAUAAAAUUCUACUUUGCCUCUUUUGUAAAAUAAUGCAAGAUAGAUAAGGCCUUAACUCUCUCAGCCCUAUGUCUCUUUUGCUAAGUCAGCUUUCCUCCAGCCCAUCUGCCAACCCUGAAAUGCCUAAGAUCUGGAGGACUGUACUCCAGAGGCUAGCCAAGACCCAGCUCCGAGGACUUGCUCUUUUUCCAGCUCUGGUCUGACUUACAGAACUCUGGCAUGCAUAUAACAAUAUCCUGAGCUAGCAACUUCUGUUCUGCUGUGAUACUAGCCAGUCUGACUCCCCUUUGAGACCUCACUUGGAAAUGAUCUAUCUGCUAUGAUCGUAGCCAGUUCUGAAUCCCUCUUGGGACAUCACAUGGAGAUGUUCCCUCUGCCCUAAUAUCCAGUUCUGACUCUCCUUUGAGAACUCACACGGGGCUGGUCCAUCUUCCACAGUAGUAGCCAGCUCUGACCCCUCUUUGAGACUUCACAUAGAGAUGUAUUCCUACACAGUUCUACCCCUGCUUUCUAGUAAAUUGUGUUUACUAGCUGUGGUCUCAGCUGCCUAGCUGGUCUUUUGCUGUGAUUGAUUUUGUGAUUUAAUGAAUAUUAAUUGGGGUUACUUACCAGUAGCUAUUAUCAGUGAAGAAAAUCAGAAUCUAUUUCUAUCUCUUUAUCUCUGCCACCCACCCCCAGUGAACACUGACCACUCUUGGGUAGUGGUGUUUCAUGAGCCCUUCCCUCUUACUGUGGCUGGAGUUGAGGCACAGGAAAUCUAAGUGGAACUGUAGGGAAAUCAGGCAUUUACUCCUGGCACCUGCCUCAGCCACUGCCUAGCUCCUUGUGGCUCCAUCUGGUACACUCCUGCCCUCACACCAGCCUUGGGCCCUGUGCACUGCUGCCUCCUUCGUCUCUUGGGUUCUGAGUGGCCAUGGUGUCUCUGUCAGGCCUGAGUGGGUGAUGCUCUGCUAUUCUGAAUUUUGUGGUGGCUUCACUUUCUUUUCAGCUUCUCAUCCAGACUUACAUACUUAGAGUAUUUGUUGAAAGAACUAGAUAGAAACUGUGGUUUUUCAAAUUUUGAAGUGUAUUGAUUUCUAAUUUAAGCAACUGGCACUUCUUGAUUCAGCCUCUGAAUAUUUUUACAUUUACUAUCUUAAAACUAUCAUUUUUAUCUUUUGCCACCUUCCAUGAUGUCACAUUCCCACUCUUCCAAAACUGAC